AGAACGAACGCUGGCGGCAGGCUUAACACAUGCAAGUCGAACGCGUGUAGCAAUACACGAGUGGCGCACGGGUGAGUAACGCGUGGAUAUCUGCCUUUUGGUUCGGAAUAACCCCGGGAAACUGGGGCUAAUACCGGAUGGUUCCUACGGGAUAAAGAUUUAUCGCCAAAAGAUGAGUCCGCGUCCGAUUAGCUAGUUGGUGGGGUAAUGGCCUACCAAGGCGACGAUCGGUAGCUGGUCUGAGAGGACGAUCAGCCACACUGGGACUGAGACACGGCCCAGACUCCUACGGGAGGCAGCAGUGGGGAAUAUUGGACAAUGGGCGCAAGCCUGAUCCAGCCAUGCCGCGUGGAUGAUGAAGGCCUUAGGGUUGUAAAGUCCUUUUAACGGGGAAGAUAAUGACGGUACCCGUAGAAUAAGCCCCGGCUAACUUCGCGCCAGCAGCCGC
rnacentral:rRNA from 1 species